rnacentral:sRNA from 1 species
UCCGCGACCCGGCUUGAGCGGAAAUCCUUUUUUGCGUGUACGAAAGUUCUAUUUAAACUGAAACCGUCUGCAAAAAAGAUUGGGAGCGGAAGACGGAAAUUGUC